CCGGUCUGAGAGGAUGAACGGCCACAUUGGAACUGAGACACGGUCCAAACUCCUACGGGAGGCAGCAGUGGGGAAUAUUGCACAAUGGGGGAAACCCUGAUGCAGCAACGCCGCGUGAGUGAAGAAGUAUUUCGGUAUGUAAACCGCUUUCAGCAGGGAAGAGUCAAGACUGUACCUGCAGAAGAAGCCCCGGCUAACUACGUGCCAGCAGCCGCGGUAAUACGUAGGGGGCGAGCGUUAUCCGGAUUCAUUGGGCGUAAAGCGCGCGUAGGCGGCCCGGCAGGCCGGGGGUCGAAGCGGGGGGCUCAACCCCCCAAAGCCCCCGGAACCUCCGCGGCUUGGGUCCGGUAGGGGAGGGUGGAACACCCGGUGUAGCGGUGGAAUGCGCAGAUAUCGGGUGGAACACCGGUGGCGAAGGCGGCCCUCUGGGCCGAGACCGACGCUGAGGCGCGAAAGCUGGGGGAGCGAACAGGAUUAGAUACCCUGGUAGUCCCAGCCGUAAACGAUGGACGCUAGGUGUGGGGGGACGAUCCCCCCGAGCCGCAGCCAACGCAUUAAAGCGUCCCGCCAGGGGGAGACGGGCCGCAAGGAAAAAACUCAAAGGAAUUGAACGGGGGCCCGCACAAGCAGCGGAGCAUGUGGUUUAAUUCGAAGCAACGGCGAAGAACCUUUCCAGGGCUUGACAAAUAGGGUGAAGCGGGGGAGACCCCGUGGCCGAGAGGAGCCCAUACAGGUGGUGCAUGGCUGUCGUCAGCUCGUGUCGUGAGAUGUUGGGUUAAGUCCCGCAACAAGCGCAACCCCUAUCCUCAGUAGCCAGCAUUUAAGGUGGGCACUCUGGGGAGACUGCCAGGGAUAACCUGGAGGAAGGCGGGGAUGACGUCAAAUCAUCAUGCCCCUUAUGAUUUGGGCUACACACGUGCUACAAUGGCGUAAACAAAGGGAAGCGAGAUUGUGAGAUGGAGCAAAUCCCAAAAAUAACGUCCCAGUUCGGAAAGUAGUCUGCAACCCGACUACACGAAGCUGGAAUCGCUAGUAAUCGCGGAUCAGAAUGCCGCGG
rnacentral:rRNA from 1 species